rnacentral:rRNA from 1 species
AUGGCUGGUGUUCUAACGUGGGCCCCUGACCGGGGUUGCGGACAGUGUCUGGUGGGUAGUUUGACUGGGGCGGUCUCCUCCCAAAGAGUAACGGAGGAGCACGAAGGUUGGCUAAUCCUGGUCGGACAUCAGGAGGUUAGUGCAAUGGCAUAAGCCAGCUUGACUGCGAGCGUGACGGCGCGAGCAGGUGCGAAAGCAGGUCAUAGUGAUCCGGUGGUUCUGAAUGGAAGGGCCAUCGCUCAACGGAUAAAAGGUACUCCGGGGAUAACAGGCUGAUACCGCCCAAGAGUUCAUAUCGACGGCGGUGUUUGGCACCUCGAUGUCGGCUCAUCACAUCCUGGGGCUGAAGUAGGUCCCAAGGGUAUGGCUGUUCGCCAUUUAAAGUGGUACGCGAGCUGGGUUUAGAACGUCGUGAGACAGUUCGGUCCCUAUCUGCCGUGGGCGCUGGAAGAUUGAGGGGGGCUGCUCCUA